rnacentral:lncRNA from 1 species
CGGAAGGCUGAUGGUGGCAUUACCUGCGUGCAAAUCACCUCAAGGUAGAAUCGAAAACACAACCGAGAUACAGCCAAGGUGUGGUUUUGCUGCUUGGCAAGUUCAAAAGCAAAGGGAUGUUUUCCUUUUCCUUUCCAAAGUCCACAAACCCAACUUUUUUCAAAUCUGUGUUUCUGAUUUGUGCAGGCUCUUGGGAAUGACAGCGGUGGAAAAGAAUAGGGGCCUGUGGAAUCGAGUGGUGGGAGAGGUAGAAAGGGACAGAGAGAGAUGGAGGAAUGGGAUAGAGAAAGAGAAGGAGAGAAAGCACUAG